AGGACGAACGCUGGCGGCGUGCUUAACACAUGCAAGUCGAACGAUGACCCGGGAGCUUGCUCCUGGUGAUUAGUGGCGAACGGGUGAGUAACACGUGAGUAACCUGCCCUUGACUCUGGGAUAACUGCGGGAAACUGUAGCUAAUACCGGAUACGACAACCGACGGCAUCGUCUGGUUGUGGAAAGAACUUUGGUCAAGGAUGGACUCGCGGCCUAUCAGGUAGUUGGUGAGGUAACGGCUCACCAAGCCUACGACGGGUAGCCGGCCUGAGAGGGUGACCGGCCACACUGGGACUGAGACACGGCCCAGACUCCUACGGGGAGGCAGCAGUGGGGAAUAUUGCAACAAUGGGCGC
rnacentral:rRNA from 1 species